rnacentral:rRNA from 1 species
UACGUAGGGUGCGAGCGUUAAUCGGAAUUACUGGGCGUAAAGCGUGCGCAGGCGGUCUGUUAAGACCGAUGUGAAAUCCCCGGGCUUAACCUGGGAAUUGCGUUGGAGACUGCAAGGCUGGAGUCUGGCAGAGGGGGGUAGAAUUCCACGUGUAGCAGUGAAAUGCGUAGAGAUGUGGAGGAACACCGAUGGCGAAGGCAGCCCCCUGGGUCAAGACUGACGCUCAUGCACGAAAGCGUGGGGAGCAAACAGG